AACGCACCUUGCGCUCCUUGGCAUUCCGAGGAUGCACGCCUGUUUGAGUGUCAUAAAAAUUCUCAAAUCCACUUCCUGGAGAGCUGGGUUUGGAUCAGUGGAGGCAUUAUGAGGGUUGCUUCACUGCUGAAGCUCCCCACUCCUCCAAAAUGCAACGAUUAAGUGAGGGCUGCGAUUGUCGCAUGUCUGUCGCCACUGGCAUGGUUAAAUUGCUCUUACCUUAUGCCGGUGACACAAAAGGGACUGCCUUUCCACCCUUGGGCUCUCGUUUGCGCCUUUUGUGUGCACUCCACAAUGGUGACAAUUUUGACCUCAAAUCAGGCGGGACUACCCGCUGAACUUAA
rnacentral:misc_RNA from 1 species